CGCAUCAAAGACUGAACAUGGAUCCUAUCUGCUGCCAGGCUGGAUAUACCGCAGCACAGCGACCCCACUCCAUCCUGUGUUUAACUGCCAUGAAACCAGUAAUCAAAAAGCGAAUUAAGGAAGUAGCACCAGUGAAAAUGGCUGAAUAGAAAACCAUGGAAGCUUGUGUCUCCUCAAAAGCAGCACACAGACUGGUGAAUGGUACCAAAACUAAUUGCGUUGAGAUUCUGGAAAUGAAUCAAAGCAACAGCAAAGCUUGCCUUUCUGUCACCAAGAGAGGAAUUCUGUGGCUCCUGAGGUGGCAUUUGUUCAAUGCAUUGCUAAGCAAAUAUAUUAACCGCUAUUGCCCAGUGCAAGAGAUCACAGUGACAGACAAAAAAGCUGGAGAAGAAAUGCUAGAGACUGAUAACUCUAUAAACGUCCACAUUCCAGCCCUGGAAAAACUGGCCUUGCAUUCCCAGAGAUCAGCCUGCUCUGUCCGCUCUGGGAUCCAAGGUGCGCACCACGGUGCCUGGCUUCUCACAGGUGAAAGCAAUCGAAGCACAGAUGCUUUUCUAGCUUUAGAGCUGAUCCCAAGUUUACAGCAAUGAAGGGAAGGUGGGGUUGGCGCCAACACAGACAGAAGAGCCAACGAGAAGCAAGAGUUCAGGAGCAAACUCAUGUACCCAUGCUCAGUGACUUGACAAGAGUGGCCAGACCGUGCAAUGGGGGCAGAACCCAUUUCCUCAGCAAAUGCUGAUGAGUCAAUUAGAUAUUCACGAGCAAAAGAACGAAAUCACAUCGUUACCUCCCAUCUUAUACAAAUACUAACUCAAAAUGAGUCAAAGACCCGCUCGGAAGACUAAAACAGCAACGUUCUUAGAAAUCAACUCAGGGCAACUCUAGCUAAUCCUUGGAUUUGGCAAUAGAUUUUUAUUUUCGGUAUGAAACCAAAUACAGUCAACAAAUAGAAAAAUGAAUAGAUCAGACUCCAUCAAAUGAAAAAGUUUUGCACACACAGCCCCCAAAACCAAGAAUGUGGAAAACAACAUAGAACGCAUCAAAAUAUUUUCAAACUACGUAUCUUACAGAAGUCAGUUUUUCGGAUACAUGAGUGCACUUUAACAUCUGUGAGACGAAUAACCAUACCAAACUGGCAAAUGACUCAAACAGACACUUUCCCAAAGAAGACAUAAAAAUGAUAAUGAAGCCCUUGACAAGAUGCUCAGAGUCCUCAGUCAAUAAGGACGUAUAACACAAACACCAUGGGACAACACGUUCCGCCUACUAAGAUGGCUAUCACGACAAUCCAUACAAUACAAUUGAUAGUGUGGGUGAGGAGAUGGGAAACUAAUAAUCUUCACAUGUUGGGACAGAUAUGUAAAAUGCCCAGAUACUGUGGAAAGCAGUUUGGCUUACGUAAUACUAGAAUCCAGUAGUUGGAAGUCUCAUCCGUUCUGAUAUGGCCCCAAAGACCUGGUCUAUGUUGAAGUCCAAAGAAGUUUGGUUCUAAUAGCAAUCAAAAAACAGAGCAGUGACAGCAACAGGAUGGAUGAACUUGCCAGCAUGAGUGAAGACAAGCAGAAAAAAAAAACAAACAAAAUGUCUGUAUUUCCAUCUCCUUUUUGUCUGAAUUGCCACCAGAAGAUGCCAUCAACACUUACAGCAGGUCCGCCUCAAACAAUUGGAUGAAAAGGAGCCUUGGCUGGAGUGCCCAGCAGCUGGCCUUUUCGUCGACUCCAGAGCCAGUCAAGUGGACAGUAGAGAUUAACCGUUGUAAUAGUUAUCAAUAUAAAUCGUGUGAGAUACAUAGAUGAUACCAAGGAGAGGAAGCAGUUGGGCUGACCCAGAGGGCAGGAUCCUGAUAAGUGGGUAAAAUUCGAACAGCUAGGCAGUGGGAUAGGAGGAGGAAUUCUAUGCUUGGAGAUCUAGCACACAAGGGAGGGAAUAUUCCAGAACAUUAGGAGACCUGCUAUGUUAGAUCUCUUUGAAGGCUAACAUGCAACUAAUGAAAGGUUCAAAUUAAGCUAAGACAACCAAUAGUAUCAGCAAACAGAGAGCCUUUCCCGCUCUGAGACUCAUUGUCUCGUAUUAUUUAUUUUCCCUUCAAAGCAUCUCUGUGCGACCUGUCGCUGCCAUCUAAACUAAGGUCUAUCCUGCUAUGUUUUGUCUUUGCUAUGAGCCUGCCCUUGUGGUGUCUGGUUCUGUUCAGAAGCUGUCUUUAACAGGUAGUUGUUGUCUUUUCUUCCACCCUACUGCUUCCAGUAACAUCCUUCAGGGACCAUGAGAAACAAUUCCACUUCUCCUUCUGUUUAUAUUCUGAGGAUGCUUAUGGAGUUUCCACAUUCCCUCUGCUUUGAGCCCAGCCAAGGUAUACAUGCUUAAUACCUUUAAUCUCUCCCCCUAAGUCACUCCCUCUGGUCCCUUAAUCAUCUUAAUUGCUCCUCUCCGAAAGGCAGCCAGCUCAUUAUGUGUAUCUUCCUUGGGAGGCAAUGAGGAACAUAGUAUUCCCCUUGUGGUCUCACUGGGCUCAUAUAUUACCUCCCAGUUUCAUCAUCCAUGGCUGGACAUGAGCGGGCCCCACCCCACUGCCCUCCCUCUCCCUACAGUGCACCCCGGCCCCUGCAAAUCCCUUAUUUCGCCAGGUUAUCUCUGGUUUUCCAGGUGGCCUGCUCUGAAGCUUGGAACCCACGCUGGCCACAGGCUGUUCCCAUCCCUGGGGGGGGGGGGGGGGAGCGGGAGCCACUUACUGAAGAAGGUGGCUCAGGACCAGCCUGAGAGUCUGGAGAAUUGCAACUAAGCUUGUGUAAGUCAACCUUGGAAGGGGAGAGGCUGCGGAGUGCCCAGAAUUAGGCUGCUGAGUGCCAUAAGCGCUGUGGCCUGCUGGGCUGUGUGAGCGAGCGUUCAGGACACAACUCCGGGGCUCCAGCUCUGCUUCUAAUUAUCCUGUGUAUCUCCCCUCGAACUCUGCUUCUUACCUAAGUGUUUUCAGAGCUCUCAGCCGGCACUGCGUCGCUUUAUGAGGAUAAAUGUGAAGCCAAACAAAUGAUAAAUAUCCUGUUUCAAGAUGUGUUAUCGCCCUGUGGAUGGAAAGCCCCAGAAGCCUGAGACUUUGAAAGCGCUGGUCUUGUUUUUUUUUUUUUUUUCUUUCUAAAGCUUUGAAAAGGAACACACACACACACACACACACACACACACACACACACACACACACGACUUUCCCAUUCUAAGGCAUAGUGGCAGAGGUCAAACUGCCUUUGAGGAAGCCAAAUGUUUGGGUUUCCACAGAAGGGUGACUUGGAAACCCACAUGAAGCUUCCAUGGGUGUCUGAGAGGAAAUAGCACCCCUGGACGUGGGACGCCGAAGAAGACAUGGUUCAAAACCUUCCUCUAACUCCAGUUUUCAGGG